CUCCUCUUUCGGGUAGACACAUGAUGUGCACCACUCAACACAUCUACUCUAUCUAACAUGCUGACGUUCAGAGCUCUUAUUACGAAUGACUUCCGUAAAUGCCACAGUAUUUAUGACAAAAGCAAGGUGCCCUGGGCUGACAUGGAUUCC